rnacentral:rRNA from 1 species
UCUGGUUGAUCCUGCCAGAGGUUACUGCUAUCGAGGUUCGACUAAGCCAUGCGAGUCGAAUGUAGCAAUACAUGGCGAACUGCUCAGUAACACGUGGACAACCUGCCCUUAGGACGGGGAUAAACCCGGGAAACUGGGUAUAAUACCCGAUAGGUCUCGAUUGCUGGAAUGCAUCGAGAUUUAAAGCUCCGGCGCCUAAGGAUGGGUCUGCGGCCUAUCAGGUAGUAGUGGGUGUAGCGUACCUACUAGCCUACGACGGGUACGGGUUGUGAGAGCAAGAGCCCGGAGAUGGAUUCUGAGACACGAAUCCAGGCCCUACGGGGUGCAGCAGGCGCGAAAACUUUACAAUGCUGGCAACAGCGAUAAGGGAACCUCGAGUGCCAGGUUACAAAUCUGGCUGUCGAGAUGCCUAAAAAGCAUUUCAUAGCAAGGGCCGGGCAAGACCGGUGCCAGCCGCCGCGGUAACACCGGCGGCUCGAGUGGUAACCGUUAUUAUUGGGUCUAAAGGGUCUGUAGCCGGCCGGAUAAGUCUCUUGAGAAAUCUGGCAGCUUAACUGUCAGGCUUUCAGGAGAUACUGUCUGGCUCGAGGCCGGGAGAGGUGAGAGGUACUUCAGGGGUAGGGGUGAAAUCUUGUAAUCCUUGAAGGACCACCAGUGGCGAAGGCGUCUCACCAGAACGGACCUGACGGCAAGGGACGAAAGCUAGGGGCACGAACCGGAUUAGAUACCCGGGUAGUCCUAGCCGUAAACGAUACUCGCUAGGUGUCGGCCACGGUGCGACCGUUGUCGGUGCCGUAGGGAAGCCGUGAAGCGAGCCACCUGGGAAGUACGGGCCGCAAGGCUGAAACUUAAAGGAAUUGGCGGGGGAGCACCACAACGGGUGGAGCUUGCGGUUUAAUUGGAUUCAACGCCGGAA